ACCGCAGUAGCUCAGGUGGAAGAGCACCCGGUUCUUACCCAGGAGGGCGCCGUUUCGACUACGGCCUGCGGUACCA
rnacentral:tRNA from 1 species